rnacentral:sRNA from 1 species
CACUAGCCCUGAUAGCAGCGGCAUCCUUUUAUUUUUUUCUUUAAAAAAUAAAAGAUAAAGCGGAUAGCAGGAAUAAGC